GAUGAACGCUGGCGGCGUGCCUAAUACAUGCAAGUCGAGCGGCAACAUGCUUCUCACCAAGGCGAGAAGCAUUUAGCAGACAUAGCAGAUAGCAUUUAGCAGACAUUUAAUAGAGAACAGAUAGCAGAUAAAAGACUUACGGUCUUACGUCUGUCAUCUGCGACCUGCUAAAUUUCUGUCAUCUGUCAUCUGUCAUCUGAUAAAUGACUUAUCGCUUUAGUGAGAAGUGAUGGCGAGCGGCGGACGGCUGAGUAACGCGUAGGAACGUACCCCAGACUGAGGGAUAAUCCACCGAAAGGUGGACUAAUACCGCAUAGUCUCUUCGGAGUAAAGCUUCGGCGGUUUGGGAACGGCCUGCGUCCGAUUAACUUGUUGGUGAGGUAAUGGCUCACCAAGGCGACGAUCGGUAGCUGGUCUGAGAGGAUGAUCAGCCAGACUGGGACUGAGAACGGCCCAGACUCCUACGGGAGGCAGCAGUAGGGAAUUUUCCACAAUGGGCGAAAGCCUGAUGGAGCAACGCCGCGUGCAGGAUGAAGGCUUUCGGGUCGUAAACUGCUUUUAUAUGUGACGAUUUUGACGGUAGCAUAUGAAUAAGGAUCGGCUAAUUCCGUGC
rnacentral:rRNA from 1 species